AGUUCUUGAAGAAGGAGCAGCUUCUUACCUCUUGGGGAGAGCUGGACACCCAGGGAUUGCUGGGGCUGCAUUCAGCAGGGAAGGAAACAGGCCACCAGCAAAAGCACUAGUGCCCCGGCCAGGCCUGCAUGUGAUGGAGAGGGCUGCGGAUCCAGUCCUCGUGUGGAUUAAUCUCUGCUUGGGCAAGCUCAGCUGCAAGAGCUCCUGUUAGUUCUGUCUGGCAGUGAAGACCUCCGGAGGCCUGCUGCAGUGCUGAUGCUGACAAUCGUCAACUGUCAGACACGGUGUUUGUGAAGUUCUGAGCAUGCCCAGGCUGCCACGCUGAGUGCUGUGGGCUUUUGCCAAGAAGGGUGGAGGAGGCUAAUGACCCUUCACCUCAAAGAGUUUACAGUCCAGGAAACAUGGUUGGUGCAAAUGGCACAGCCAGGGUUACACCUCAGAUCUGUGCCACUCCUGGCCACACACUGAGCCCCACCACUUCUUGCUCUGUCUCUAGUUCUUAUACAUUAUUCAGCAACAUGGGCCAUCAAAUCAACACAGAGCUGUUAAGUGUUGUGCAUAAUAAAUAUCAACCAUAAAUAUUU